UUUUACAUUAAAAAAAAUAACAAUAAUAACUACAACAAAUGUCUGUUGCGUAAAAACAAAUAACUUUUUGUUGCAAGAGCACAAAUUAAAAGCAAAAUCUUAUUCCACAUUUUGUUAAAUUUUCUCAAACAAUCUUUUAAAGCAAUUAUUUACACCGUUUUAUUGUCCAGUCACUUUGAAAAGAUUAGGAAUUAGAAAAGAAAAUGACCCAACGGAAAACGGAAAAAAACAAAUGAUCAACCAACACCCUAACAACUCAAUUCACUCGUAACUCGGACCACUGUUCUCUAGAAUCGUCCUUCCCUGUUGACACCGAGUUUUUGAUAUUCAUCCUGAGACAAGCAAUUCCUCCCAAUUCACCUCUUCUUCUUCCUCUUCUUCCUCUUUCGCUUUCAUCAUUUCCAACAUUCUUCUUGCCUUUUCCCUGGUUUGUUCUCGUCCUGACUUCUCCAAUUGUGAGAAUACUUCCACCGCUCCGGCAGCCUUUGCCAACCCAUUGAAUCUCAAACCACCGAGACUCAAUGCAUACAGCACAGAAACACAACUCUCGCGAGUUGACUGAGCUUCCAACCCACUCUCCUUCAACAUACCCAACAAACGGUCCACCCCACCCGAAUCCAACAUUGCAGCCCGCCCGUCCAGACAUGAUGCCAAGUUACCUAGUAUGAGCAAAACCCGACUCCUCAUUUGACCUGAUUUUAUCAGACCCAAAAGAAUUGGUACUGCCCCGAGUUUAACAAGCCUUGUCUUAUUGCUUUGAACGAGUGAGAGAUGAUAUAAAGCCAAAGCCGAGUCAUGCCGAGUCCACUCACUCUCGGAUCGGACCAAUUGCAGGAGUGGAGGCAGAGCACCCAGAACACCAAUUGCAGUCUUGUUAUGAUCUUCGAGGGCUAAACUGAACAUUGCACCACAGGCAUGCUCUUUCGCCUCUGGGAAUCCCUCCUUCAACACAUCGAUCAGCAUAGGAACAAUCCCGGAUCUCACCAUCUUAACUUUGUUCGCUUUUUCCAGAGAGAGAUUAACCAAAGAGGCAACUGAGUUCACUUGAAUAUUAGUGUAUUUUGAAUUGAUCAAAGAUCGCAGGACUGAGAGUAAUCGAGGAGUGCAGAGCUCCACUCUUGUCUCUUCUUUAGUUCUUGUGAUCUUUCUCAGUGAAAUGAUUGCUUCUUCGAUCUCAUACACUUGUGGGCUUUUGAGUUUUGUGAUCAGCUCUUCUUCUUCAGGGUUAGGGUUGAGGUCUAAGGUUUCCUUAUCUGAGGAGGAUGAAGCAGAAGAGUAGCAACUAUGCGGAGUAGUUAACUGCAGUGGAGGGGUCCAAACGUUGGUUUCCACUGAUUCCUCUGAGCUGGAGGAGAAAUGGGCUGGAGGAAGUGUCAAUUUAGUUGCUGCUUGAUUAAACAUCAUUGAAGGGCUCUGUUUAAUCCUCUGAAUCAAACCUUUCUCUUCUUGUUGGGCGUCCAUUUUUGCACGGACGAGCUUCUCUGCAGAGAAGAAAUCGAGAGCUUUCGGCGGUUCUACAGAGUUCUUGUUGCACCAGUUGAGAAUGGCAGACUUGAGAGCAAGAUUAGGAAUAACACUAGAGAAAUCAGGAGUUGAACCAUCUAUUAGAGUGGGAGUAAAAGAAAGGGUAUAACUGACUUGAACACAAGCGCGCUCAAAGGAGUGACCAGAGGAGACAAUAACAGGGUCAUUCAUUAGACAUUCACAAAUGGGACAAAGAAACUCUCGGGGGAUUUCUUGCUUUGAUAAUCUGCGAAAGGAGAAGACUUUCCAUUUCUGCUUUUCACUUUCUUUCUGGGUUUCAACAAUAACUCCUUUCCUUAAAGGCUUGUGUAUGAUCAGCCUCAUAAGAGCUUCCUGAAACUCCAUGGCGGGGACUCUUCUUUAGCACUGUAGAUCGGAUGUAACAUAUAAAUAAUGCAAGGGGCGUUGCGAGUCCAUGGCUCCAAAAUCAGAUACCUGAGCCAAAAACGGGAACUAGAGUUUCAUUUAGACCAGAGUAGACCAGGCCCAUGGAAGAGAAGAAGAGUUUGUUAGGGUUUGGAUCAUGAAAAUGUGAUUCUGUGAGGUUUGUUCUGAGGUAUGAAUCCUUUGCUUUCGGAAGAUCAAUUUCUCUGGAGUCUAAAGAAAUGUGUUUUUUGCUUGGGGUUUUGUUUCAGGUUCUCUCCUUUCACGUUGAUGGCUAAAUAAUCCAAAGUGGC
rnacentral:misc_RNA from 1 species